rfam:Helicobacter bizzozeronii CIII-1 main chromosome, complete genome
CCCCGUGUCCCUAGUGGAGAGGAAAUACCCAGCCCCAUCCCGAACCUGGAAGUCAAGCUCUCUAACGCCGAUGAUACUGCCCUUUGCAAGGAUGGGAAAGUAGGGUGAUGCGGGGG